GCCUGGGUGGCUCAGUCAGUUGAGCGUCUGACUUACGCUCAGGUCCUGAUCUCUCUGCUCGUGAGUUAGAACCCCGCGUCAGGCU
rnacentral:tRNA from 1 species